rnacentral:rRNA from 1 species
AUGCAGGCCAGGCGGCUCAGAAGUGGACGACGGAGGCGGCUCAGUGGCGUCCCGGCGAUUCAUGGUAGCGCGAGGCUGCAGCAGCAUCAAGGCCAGGCCGCGGGGCGGCCUGGAGGUAAGUCCGCGCCGGCGGGUCUCACACAAGGCGAAGCAGCAGUGAUAAGGGCCCGACGCGGGCGAUUUGGAGGGCUCAGCGACAGAGGAGGAGAUCGCAGAGGGUCAUGGCAACUCCGCGGAGGCGAACAGCAGCAGCUCCGGCCAGCGGCGGCUUCGGCGUACGAGGUGAGGGCGGUUCGGACCACGGUGGUUUGGAGCAGGUGGUGGCGACUCCACAGUGCAGCAAGAGUCGUCCGAGUCCGUGUUCACACCUGGGUCCUUCUCCAAGUCGUGACUGGCUUGACCAAUCCGUCCGAGUCGUGGCUGAUUUCCAAUCUUGCGUUUGACUGCGUGCGUGUGGAUCCGAACAGCAGCGUAUCUUCAUGA